rnacentral:rRNA from 1 species
CCUACGGGCGGCAGCAGUGGGGAAUAUUGCACAAUGGGGGAAACCCUGAUGCAGCGACGCCGCGUGAGUGAAGAAGUAUUUCGGUAUGUAAAGCUCUAUCAGCAGGGAAGAAAAUGACGGUACCUGAUUAAGAAGCCCCGGCUAACUACGUGCCAGCAGCCGCGGUAAUACGUAGGGGGCAAGCGUUAUCCGGAUUUAUUGGGUUUAAAGGGUGCGCAGGCGGAAGAUCAAGUCAGCGGUAAAAUUGAGAGGCUCAACCUCUUCGAGCCGUUGAAACUGGUUUUCUUGAGUGAGCGAGAAGUAUGCGGAAUGCGUGGUGUAGCGGUGAAAUGCAUAGAUAUCACGCAGAACUCCGAUUGCGAAGGCAGCAUACCGGCGCUCAACUGACGCUCAUGCACGAAAGUGUGGGUAUCGAACAGGAUUAGAUACCCCAGUAGUC